AAGAGCCAGGAAAGCGACCGUCUGCUGCUCGUGGCCAGCGCCAACCUGAGAGAGUUUGAGGUAUUGCAUCGGAACUGAGUAAAUUGAGAAAUACAGCAAACAUUUCAAAAGAAGGCUGAUAAAAUUACCAGGCAGACCAGUGAAUCACUCUCGAUACAUAGAGCAAUUCCUGAAGGUCUUCCCAGAUGUUGUGAAAACAGAGACACCUCCCCCACCCCGUGCCUGUCAGCAAGGGAGAGCAGGAGGGGCAUGGAUGUGGGACACCAAGGAGCCAGAACUAAAGAGCUGGCCACAUCUGUAAACAGGAGCGCUGUGAGCAUGCUGGCAGAUGUGGCAGGGGGUUGAGCUGGAAGCUGCUCGACACAUCGACUGGCCUGUCCAGGGUCAAUGCCACAUUGCGAGAGACAAACAAGCUCCUGCAUGACUCGAACCUGACCACUCUGUUAGUGGAAAGAAAAAAGAUGUGGAAACACCAAGCCAACCUUCUAUUUGAUCAGUUGAAAUCUUCGAAGAUUUUAGAAGAGAAUCUGAACAGAAACCUUUCCGAAAUUAAACUGCUGAUCAGCCAGGCCCGGAAACAAGCAGCUUCUAAAUCUCCUGUCGUGAAGGUAACCAUUUCAGAGACUGCAUGGGAGAAGCUUUCUUAAAUGGAAAAUCCAUCAGCCUGUGGAACCACCUAGAAAGGGAGGGUAAAUGUCACGGCUGCUUUGGAAGGUGAGAUGUCACCACAAUUUUACACGUGAUGUGUCAUUCUGUUAACAUCUGAGGGCUGUGGAAAAAACUUAAUGCACAUCAGAGGGUUUGUGCUAUUGUUUAUUU